GAUGAAGAACGCAGCGAAAUGCGAUAAGUAAUGUGAAUUGCAGAAUUCAGUGAAUCAUCGAAUCUUUGAACGCACAUUGCGCCCGCCAGUAUUCUGGCGGGCAUGCCUGUUCGAGCGUCAUUUCAACCCUCAAGACCCCUUCGGGGGACUUGGUGUUGGGGACCGGCUGUUCCCGGCCUGCUUCUUGCAGCGCCUUUAUGCCGCCCCCGAAAUGAAUUGGCGGCCUCGUCGCGGCCUCCCCUGCGUAGUAGCACAACCUCGCAACGGGAACGUGACGGCGGCCACUGCCGUAAAACAACCCAAUUUUAUUAGAGUUGACCUCGAAUCAGGUAGGAAUACCCGCUGAACUUAAGCAUAUCAAUAAGCGAGGA
rnacentral:misc_RNA from 1 species